GAACCACCCGGCCCCGGGGCGAGAGACGCGUCUCUCAGGCCCCAGAUCCGUGGAGUCGUCUCUCUCCAGAGGACCGGGCGCCGGCCCUCUCCUCCACCUGAGAAGCAAAAGGGCGCAGAGCCACCAAAAUGCCUUGACCUGGGCGGCUGACAGAUGAAGGAGUACAUUUGGGAGACUCCAGACUCCGCAAGGUGGCUCAGUGGUAAAGAAUCCGACUGCCAGUGCAUGAGACGAGGAUUCGAUCCCUGGGUUGGGAAGAUCCCUGGAGGAAGGCAUGGCAACCCACUCCAGUAUUGCCUGGGGAAUUCCAUGGACAGAGGAGCCUGGCAGGCUACAGUCCAUAGGGUUGCAAAAGAGUCGGACACGACUGAACAACUCAACAACAACAAUAGCAGCAAUAUUUUGAUGUUCUGACUACUUGGUCUUUGUUGCAGAAACUCCUAUGUAUCCCGGCUCCUCACUUGCCUCUUUGGAGCAGUCCUGCAGGGCUAUCUGAGAGGUUAUGUCCUGGGCUUAAGUUCUCAGGGUG